UGGGGAAUAUUGGGCAAUGGGGGCAACCCUGACCCAGCGACGCCGCGUGGGGGAAGACGGCCUUCGGGUUGUAAACCUCUUUUGUACGGGAAGAAGGAAGUGACGGUACUGUACGAAUAAGUCCCGGCUAACUACGUGCCAGCAGCCGCGGUAAUACGUAGGGGACGAGCGUUGUCCGGAAUUACUGGGCGUAAAGGGCGCGCAGGCUGUGCUGCAAGUCAGCUGUUAAAUGUCUGGGCUAAACCCGGGCAUGCGGUUGAGGCUGCGGUGCUGGAGUGCUGUAGAGGCAAGUGGAAUUCCCAGUGUAGCGGUGAAAUGCGUAGAUAUUGGGAAGAACACCGGUGGCGAGGCGACUUGCUGGGCAGCAACUGACGCUGAGGCGCGAAAGCCAGGGGAGCAAACGG
rnacentral:rRNA from 1 species